UUGGUAGGUGCAUUAGAAUUUUGAUAGCAAUACAAUCUGAGGAUAGCGAUAAAUUUGUUAGCUGACACUUACCUGAGCUCACUGCAUGAUUGUUAUUGAUGGUUUGAUUAUUAUUAUUAUUGCUACUGCUGCUACUACUACUACUAUUAUGUUGUAUGCCUGAGUAUUACUAUUAUAUAUUUGAUGUUAUAUUUGUAUAAUGUGAAAUAAUAUGAUAAUAUUUAGUUUAGUAUAUACUAAGAUUAUAUUUGAUAUUAAAGUAGAGGUUUAGUACUAAGGGGUUACCAGUUAAGCCACUUAAGUACUUGAUUCAUGAUUGUUGUUUGUUGUUUUCCCUUACUUUUUACAACCAGCAAGGUCUUUACUCCAUAGGGGUAUUUGUAGCUCCAAUAGUGCUAAUAAUUGUUACUGCUUUACAAAAUAGUGCUAAUAAUUGUUAUGACAAUAGUAAGUGAUUCUCCAUAUGAUUCGAGUGAGUUCUGAUAGAGAUCAAUAAUAUAUAUAUGGUGUUUAGGCAUCUAUGAAGGAAUCUAAAAUUAUUUCUUACAAUAUCCUAAAUAUUUUUUAAUUCAAAAAAAAAACUAUUUCUUUUAUUUGAAUAUAAUAAGUGUGUUACUAGUGAUAAAGGAUUUCUAUUUAUUAAAUUUUAUAUAUUGGAAAUAUUUUUUGGCUAUUGGAACUUCAGUUUUCAAUAAGAUUAUAAUAAAUUAGUUGCAAAAGGAUUGAUAACAUUAUUUUUAUAGGUACUUUUUGAAAUUUGAAUGCUUUUAUGAAAGUUUGUUAUUUUGGAACUUGAUACUUGUGUUCGAUUUGUCAAUCAAUGAGUUCACAUGUGUAUUGGUCAUGCAUCAUAUGUAGUCACAUAUAAGUCAUUAAUUUUCAUCUAUUAAGAUCAUAUAUUAGUCUUACAUAUAUGGACACAAGGACAUUAGUUUUAAAAGGAUGAAAAAAAAAGUGAAAUGAUUGUUAAAAAUUCAGUUAUUUUAUAGUACAUACUGUUAAAAAUGAAUUUGAAAAAGAAAUAAAAAAUGAAUGAAGUAGAUCAAAGGAGCAGUUUGCAAAGCGAUGGUGGAAAUUACUUGAUAAACUUAAUACUAGGGAGGUGGAAUAGGUUCAAUCAUUAUAUGAAGAUCGCAAAUAUUGGAUCCCUGCUUUCGCAAAUAUUGGAUCCCUGCUUUCAUUAGGGGUGUAUCUUUUGCUGGUUUGUCUACAAUUUUGCGAUAUGAAAGUGUGAACUCUUCAUUUGACAAAUAUUUGCACUGGGAAACAUCGAUGAGAGAGUUUAUAGAGCAAUAUAGAUUACUACUUGAAGAUAGGUAUGAAGAGGAAGCCAGAGCUGAUUUUGAUGCAUGGCAUGAAACACCUGAAUUCAAGUCCCCAUUACCUUUUGAGAAAAAAAUGUCACCUGUAUAUACGCAUGAAAUUUCCAAGAAGUUCCAAGUUGAGGUUUUGGGAGCUGCCAUUAUUUUGGGAAGAGGUUUCACUUUCUGAAGAGAGUUAUAAUAUUGCACUGUGCUCCAUAAAAGAAGCUUUAAAGCAAUGUGCAAUUCUGAAUAAUUCUGCUGACAAUGUUGUUGUUCUACCACUUUAUUUAGCAUUGAAUAGGAGAAUCAAUGCAGUACUACAUCUAAAGAUGUGGUAUCGGAUCCUCACUUGACUGGUACAUACAAGGCUCCUGGGAGAAUUGAUGCUGGAAAAGGGAAAGAAGACAGUGAAAGUAAUGCAUUUAAAAAAGGAAAGCAGUUACCUCAGUCGGCAACUGUUAGUGUCGAUUCACAGGAUAGCUUCCACCUAAUGGAGAUGUGCGACUUAAGGCCAACACAAUCACAUGAUAUAGUGCCACCACAGUUGCAGAACAUGGUGCCAAUAGUGUUUCAGAGCAUAACAUCAUUAGAGUUUCAUAAUAUGGCUCUAAGUUACCUGCCUGAGGCUCGACUUCCUCAGUAAUGUGCUGUUGCAAAUAUUUGUAAAGUGUUUAUACACAUUUUAUGGCUAUAGGACUGUAGGAAAAGAAGCUAACCAUUUUUCAGGUAUAAAUAUCAGCCUAAAUGAUAAAAUGGUAAUUUGAUUUGAUGUUAUUAUGGCAGAUAAAACUGGGGUUAACUUGUGGAUGUAUAUUACCUUUUGUUACUCUAGCUAUUCAUACGAUGGUAAUUUUACUCUUACAAGGUGCAAGUAAUGGAAGGCAUUACAAGUUGGGUUGUAA